UACGUAGGGUGCAAGCGUUGUCCGGAAUUAUUGGGCGUAAAGAGCUCGUAGGUGGUUCGGUAAGUCGGAUGUGAAAUCUCCAGGCUCAACCUGGAGGGUCAUUCGAUACUGCCGUGACUAGAGUUCGGUAGAGGAGUGUGGAAUUCCUGGUGGAGCGGUGAAAUGCGCAGAUAUCAGGAGGAACACCAAUGGCGAAGGCAGCUCGCUGGGACGUGACUGACGCUGAGACGCGAAAGCGUGGGGAGCGAACAGG
rnacentral:rRNA from 1 species